rnacentral:lncRNA from 1 species
ACAUCUCUCCUUUUAAGUCCCAUUUGUCCUCUGCUUUCUCUUAUCAGGAAUGGAGAGUUGUUAUAUUUGUUAUGAGACUUAAUAUAGAUCAUUUAUUACAGUUAGAUUUAAAUCCAGCUCUUUUACAUUUUCCUGUUCCUUCCAGCUCUUUACAGUAAAUGAUGCUGUCUACACAAUGCAGAAAUUUUCAUUUGGCUUUUAUAAGUGGAAAUAAUUCUUAAUUUUCUGUCUGAUUCAGGUUUUCAUUACUCGUCACAGAAUUUUAGAACAAUGACUGUUUUUCUUUUCAGUAAGAACAAAUAUUAGACCUGGAAGGAACUUCAGUGAUAGAUCAUUUAGUUCAAACUUCCAUAUUUCACAGUUGAGAAAACCAAGAGUCAGAGAAGCUUAGUGAUUUGCCCAAGGACAUUCAUUAAAUGUCAACAGAGUGGGAAUGAGAACCUGGAGUUCCUAACUGCUAAUGUAGUAUAUACACUGUCUACUUCAGAAUUUAAGAGCUAUCAUUCAAUAAUUGCUUAUUGCUAAUGGAAUGCAGAGUGCUUUUUAACCCAAUGUAAAGUUAUAGUAUCUUUCUUUGUAUUCUUUUUAGCAAGAAAUACUUGGUUUUCAACCGUGGUAUAUGACAGUAGAACCAAGUAGAAAUGUAAAUCCUUUGUGCUUUGUAUCACUGCAGGUAUACUUUGUAGCAAAAUAAAAGAUUGUAGUUGAAAACAUUCAGUGUAUAGUUACUGUUACUUUGAAAAUUGUGAUUGUUCACUGGGACCUUACCAUUGAGUUCCAAAACAGUAAUGUAAAAUUUAAAAAAAAUUUAUUUUAAUUAAUAUAGUUAUAUUAUUAAAAUAUGCCUGAUUUCUAUGUCUCAUUAGAAACCUCUGAAAAAUAUUACUUUUGGAGUGGUUUGUAAAACUGUGUAAGUUAAGUAGUUCACUGAAUGUUAUGUUAGCAUUAGUUAAUUGCUUUAAAAAUGUUUAUAUGGCCUUUCUUGCUGACUGUAUGUUUAAUAAACUAUGUUCAGUAUUUGGUCCUGUCAACCAGUACUAAGUAUAACCAUUUUCUUAUUUUUAUAUUAGUGUUUGACCCUUUGAUAAUACAUAUUCAUACUUUGAUUUUCUUGGGGGAAUAAAUGCUGGUUCCCCAGGGCAAAAGUUGCCACUUCCUUCUGCAUCAGUAUUGCUUCCAUUAGACCUACUGGAAAUGAUGCUUACAUUGAGUAAAAGCUGUGUUUUAUACUUUUCACUUGCUACUUUUUAGGUAUUUUUUGCUUAAUUUGUUUAGGUGAAUUUUGCUUAAAUUUAAUAGCUGCAGUUGUUUGUAUAUGUAGACUCUGAUAAAGGAACAUUUAACUAUGGAAAUAAUGCUAAAUAAAAUCUGCACUAUGUCAAGUUUUGUUCACUUGUCACUGGUAAAAUAUAUUUCUCUUCAUUUAUAAAACUGUAUGAAUAAUUUUCCAGUUUAAAACACUAGCAUUUUAAUGAGUGAAUUGUGCUAGUAUCGAUUAUAUUCAUUCUUCUGGCCAUGGGUCAGUGUAAGACUUUUUUUAUGUCGAUUUUAAAUUUUAGAAACAAAAGCUUGAAAGUAUAAGAGAAAGUAGAUUUUAGUUUUAUAAUUAUCUUGGGGGAAAAUACAGUACAUUUAAAAUGCUGAUAAUAAUUUGAUCUUUCAUUUUACUUUAUUCUUUUUUUUUUUUUUUUGUAAGUAAGGAGCAUUAUAAAAUUUAGUUGCUUUUGGAUUUAUUCUUUUAUCAUCAUUUAUUAACUGUUUGUUCUUUUAGGACCUGAUCCCAACAUUGAAGAAAGUCCUAAAAGAAAAAAUGUUACAUAUGAGGAAUUAAGGAAUAAGAACAGAGAGUCAUAUGAAGUUACUUUAACACAUAAGACUGACCCCUCAGUCAGGCCUAUGCAGGAAAGAAUGCCAAAAAAAGAAGUCAAAGUAAACAAAUAUGGAGAUACUUGGGAUGAGUGAAAAAUUGCAU